AAGUCUCCAGGUCUCUCGCGAAA
rnacentral:misc_RNA from 1 species